rnacentral:rRNA from 1 species
CCUACGGGGGGCAGCAGUGGGGAAUAUUGCACAAUGGGGGAAACCCUGAUGCAGCGACGCCGCGUGAGUGAAGAAGUAUUUCGGUACGUAAAGCUCUAUCAGCAGGGAAGAAAAUGACGGUACCUGACUAAGAAGCCCCGGCUAACUACGUGCCAGCAGCCGCGGUAAUACGUAGGGGGCAAGCGUUAUCCGGAUUUACUGGGUGUAAAGGGAGCGUAGACGGCAGCGCAAGUCUGGAGUGAAAUCCCAUGGCUUAACCAUGGAACUGCUGUGGAAACUGUGCAGCGAGAGUGCAGGAGAGGUAAGCGGAAUUCCUAGUGUAGCGGUGAAAUGCGUAGAUAUUAGGAGGAACACCAGUGGCGAAGGCGGCUUACUGGACUGUAACUGACGUUGAGGCUCGAAAGCGUGGGGAGCAAACAGGAUUAGAUACCCUUGUAGUC